CAAAGCAUAUAGCUCCUUAGAGAAAAAAUUAAAGGCAGAUAAUGUGGAAGGUGUGUUAAAACGUUUGUAUAAUCACUAUAAUCAUUCUUCAACUAAAACUUUUACAGAUAACAUUGGAGGUGACACUAACAUGAUGGGUGAAGUUGAUGAUAUAUUGCAUUCUCAAUAGGAAAAACAUUUAGAAGAUGAGGAGAACACUGGAAUAAAUCUGAACUUGAUCAAUAUUUGAUGGAUAAUGUAGAGAAGCCUAAUGAUUUUAAUAUCUUGACUUGGUGGAAAAGUUCAUCGAAUAUAUAUAUCCAACUAUAUCAAAAAUGGCAAGGGAUAUUCUUUCUAUUCCCGUGUCCAUUGUUGCAUCUGAAUCAGUUUUCAGUAUAGGUGAUCGUAUUCUUGAUUCAUAUCAGAGUUCUUUAUAACCAAAGACAUUAGAAGCACUUAUUUGUACUCAACAAUGGAUACAGUCAUCUUCUAAAGAAUGGAAGGUUCAAGAUUAUUUGGAGGAAGUUCAGAAAAUUGCAAGAAGUUAAAAAAAGGUGCUCCUUUGAGUGUCUAUUAGUUCAAUGACAAAGCUUUUUGCAAUUCUUUUGAUAUAUAGAUUGUAAGUCUAGGUGAUCGUUUGAGUAUAUAUUAGUUUGGAUGAAGAAAAUAUGCAGAUGAUCAUGGUGGUUAAAGAUUAUUGGAGUAGUUUUGCAGUUUUUCUGUUGGAGUUUUAAGAGGAUAUUUUACUAACAUUAUGUGAAGUGUUAUGUUUUUAAUUUUCAAUGUCAAAAUAGACUUAUUAUUUAUAAAUUAUUUGCUCCAGCUGAUCAUGUGAGGAUCUGGAUAAUCAAACUUAUAGAAAUAAGAUUGAAAUGAAAUGGUUAUUGAGCAGUUUUCAGGAUGUUGGGUUAUUGAGCAAUUGUUAGGUGGUUUUUC